GACGAACCGUCCAAACGUUAUUCGGAUUUACUGGGCUUAAAGGGUGCGUAGGCGGCUCAGAAAGUCGGGCGUGAAAGCCCUCGGCUCAACCGAGGAAUUGCGCCCUAAACUACUGGACUCGAGGAACGCAGAGGUAAGCGGAACUUAGGGUGGAGCGGUGAAAUGCGUUGAUAUCCUAAGGAACACCAGGAGCGAAAGCGGCUUACUGGGCGUAUUCUGACGCUGAGGCACGAAAGCCAGGGGAGCGAACGGG
rnacentral:rRNA from 1 species